rnacentral:lncRNA from 1 species
CUACAGGGACUGUCAUCACUGACUGAUGGGGCCUGUAGUGGCUAAAAGCGACAAAACUACAAGGACUGCCAUCACUGACUGAUGGGGCCUGUAUACAGGGACUGCCAUCAUGAUGGGGCCUGUAGUGGCUAGAAGCGAUAAAACUACAAGGACUGCCAUCAUUGACUAGUGGAGUCUGAAAGCCUAAAACCUGGCUGGAAACAUACUCCCCCUCACGACGAACGACGGAAAUGACGACGCGCCGAUGAUAGAUCGUGAAAGUGGAAGAUCAUAAUGAGCUCUUAUUCAUCAAAGCACCCAAAAGCAAAUCUGACAGAUUUGACAAAGGGUUGGU